ensembl:misc_RNA Metazoa_SRP Metazoan signal recognition particle RNA
UCCGGGCUUGGAGACAUGUACCUGUAGUCCCAGCUACUCAGAAGGCUGAGGCAGGAAGAUUGCUUGAGCUCAGGAGCUCUGGGCUGGAGUGUGCUAUGCCAGUGGAGUAUCUGCACUAAGUUUGGCACAAGUUUGGCACUGAUAUGGUGACCUCCUGGGAGCAGGGGACCACCAGAUUGCUUAAGGAGGGGUGAACCGAGCCAGGUUGGAAAUAGAGCAGGUCAAAACUCCAGUGCUGAUCAGUAGUGGGAUCGUGCCUAUUAAUAACCACUGCACUCCAUCCUGGGCAACAUAGUGAGACCCCUUUUCUU